AGUCCCGCCCGCGUCGCCCGCCAGCCCCGGGACAGCCCGCCUGGCGCGCGGGGCUCUGCGCGCUGCGACCCUCCCCGGCAGUCCCGCCCGCCUCUCCUCGCCCUCUCUCUGCCUGGCCUCCAACUUUGCCUCUCGCUAUCCUCUCCGCCGGCGCCCCCUUUCCCGGCGGUCCCCGGGAUGGUCCCCGGCACCCCGAGGACGCCGAGGUUACGGGAAGUUCGGGGACUGGCGGGAGAAGGGGUUUGGGGGUGGUCCGCGGCGAGGGGCGCGGGGUGCAUCUUCUCUUCCUUUUAUGGGCUGCCACACUUGUGUAUCCCUUCUUCCUUGAAUUUAACCAGGAGUGAGCAGUGGACAGCUUCUUCCCUAUGAGAAGGAGGUGAAGCAGGACCUGAAAUCCCGUGCUCAGCUCCCACAUGCCCCGUGUCCAGGACAAGUCCUUUGCUGAAUCAGCGGCAGACACCACCCGGAGCCCUGCGGGAGCCUUUCCCUGUUCUUCCAGCAUGGAUCUGAAACUCCCUUCCCACUUUCUGCAGCCUCCCAGAGAUAGUUCAGGCUCCAGCCUCAUGUGAUAGCAUGAAGAGAAACUGGUUCCAACAGCUGUGUGCUCUGCUGCCCUCAUCCCAAACAACAGUUUAAAUGCACAAUUACGCUUUUCUCUAAGGCCCAAAAUAGGAUAGGAAAGAUCGUUUUGCUAUCCCUGAAUGCCUGUCACCCUUGUUUCGUAAGCAGGAAGUCAGUCCCAGAAUAGUUGUUCUGCUCCCUCCCUUCUAAUAAGUGCUGCGCUGAGUGUGCUUGCUUUGCCAGAUGGUUAAAACAGAGCAGGGGAUAGAAGGACAGAUGUCUUCACCCUCAUGGAGUUCACCUUCCAGUAGGAGGAGGCGAUAGGCCGGGGUCUGCACAUGUGCGUGCUACAGCCUGUUCCACGGUGCGUGGCGUGCGGGGCAGGUGAGCGGCUCAUGCCAUCCAGAGAGCUAGGAAAGGGGGGCUGCAGUUUUAGCAAGAUGGGCAGGGAAGGCCUGGAUGAGAAGGAGACCACUGAGCAAAGACACCAGGAGUGGGUGCAGAGAGCUGAGGGCACUUCUAGAAGUGCCUGCUGGGAUAAUGGGGUGUCUGCCAGUGCCACGGCCCUGAAGUGCCACUAUACCUGGGGUUUUUGAGGAAGAACAAUGGGGCCAAUGGCUGGAAGUCAGGACAUAGGGGCCAGCGUCAGAAGGUAGCUGACAGAAGAGGUGUGUGGAGAGGAAGUGGGAGGGAAAGAAAUCGGGCCAUGAUGGCGUCUAUGGGCCUUUUGAUUUUGACUCUGAGUGAAAUGGGGAGCCACGGAGGGUUCUGGAGAGACGAGAGCCAUGCUCUGACUUCAGUCUUCCCAGGACCCUUCUGGCUAGUGCAUCAAGGACACAUAGUGGCAGGGAAAGAGUGAAGCAGAGAAACAGUUAGGAGACAGCCACAGUGGUUCAGAGGAGAUAGGCUGGUGGCUUGGACCCCGGAGGCAGAAGAGGCCACGGUCAGCAGGGAUUGGAUUCUGCUUAGAGGGCCACCAGGCAAGCCUGGGCCGGCUGUCCAUUUUGACCAUGGACCAAGGCUGUCCAUUUUGAUGGAAAACUCAUUCUUCUUCUUCUUCUUUUUUUUUUUUUUUUUUUUUUUUUUUUGAGACAGAGUCUUGCCCUGUCACCAGGCUGGAGUGCAGUGGUGCGGUCUCAGCUCACUGCAACCUCUGCCUCCCAGGUUCAAGUGAUUUCCCUGCCUCCCGAGUAGCCUGGACUACAGAUGUGUGCCAUCAAGCCCAGCUAAUUUUUUUUUUUUUUUUUUUGUAUUUCAGUAGAGACAGGAUUUCACCAUGUUGGCUAGGAUGGUCUCGAUCUCCUGACCUUGUGAUCCGCCCCUCCCUCAGCCUCCCAAAGUGCUGGGAUUACAGGCGUGAGCCACUGCACCCUGCCAGAAAACUCAUUCUUCUACUCCAUCCUACAGUUUUCCCUAAGAGAGAAACAAUAAAACGCCACCACGACCAAUGGCAAAAAGCUGGCACCCACUCCACGACUUUUCAUAUCUACACGUUUGUACAGCUUUAUUUUUAAGCAUUCUGAAAUUCUAUGCAGGAGAGACCCCAGCUAGGUUUAGGGAGUCCUAGGGUUUGUGGAGUAAAUGAAGUUUCUCCCUAGAAUUAGGGAGGGUAGAGACAGGCAGAGAACUGACAAUCCUAACAGCUGCUGUCCUCAGAGCCACUGUUUCUGAGAGCUGCUCGCUGAGUGCUUCUAGCGAGUUAAAUGGUGUUCGCCCAAAAGACCUGUUCACGUCCUGAUCCUGGGAACCUGUGGCUGUGAUCUUAUUUGGAAAAAGCUCUACAUUACGUCUUUGCAGAAGUAAUCAUGUUAAGGAUCUUGAG
rnacentral:lncRNA from 10 species